UACGGAGGGUGCAAGCGUUGUCCGGAUUUAUUGGGUUUAAAGGGUGCGUAGGCGGCCCGUUAAGUCAGUGGUGAAAGCCUCCAGCUCAACUGGAGAACUGCCAUUGAUACUGUCAAUCUUGAGUACAUUUGAUGUGGGCGGAAUGUGUCAUGUAGCGGUGAAAUGCUUAGAUAUGACACAGAACACCGAUUGCGAAGGCAGCUCACAAAACUGUAACUGACGCUGAGGCACGAAAGCGUGGGUAUCAAACAGG
rnacentral:rRNA from 1 species